GCAAAUAAAUCAAUGAUAGCAAUAAACACAACUGUUCACCAAGCGACCAGCCUUAUUAUGACUAAUUUGACUUCUGGCAUCAGCUACUCCGUUCAGAUAGCUGCCGAGACGAUUGUUGGCUUGGGUCCAUUUAGUCAAAAGUUUACUUGAAUAUCGAUUCUCGCUCUGUGGGUUUGGAUCCAUUAUCGCGAUAUCCUAUAAACGGGGAAGUCUCCAUAGUGGCGGGGACUUCGUAAUGGAAACAUGGUUUUACUUUUUGAUUGGAGCGAUUGUUCUGUUCAAAGUAAUUGUGAUUGGCGGCAUUAUUUAUGUGCGAAAGCAUAAUAUUUUCGCUAAAAAGUCGGCGCUUCCGAAUAUUUAUGAUUCCAAUGGUACAAGUUUAGUAACUCAAAUGAACAUAAAAGCGGCGGUGUCGCUGUCACAUCCACUGAGCAGUUGUUACAAUAAAAAUACUGUGACAAAGACUGAGUCAUUGCUUUGGAUGGAAAAUCAACCUGGAGUAUGCAUGUCUGGAACUCAAACUCAAAGCAAAGAAAA